CCUACGGGAGGCAGCAGUGAGGAAUAUUGGUCAAUGGGCGCGAGCCUGAACCAGCCAAGUAGCGUGAAGGAUGACUGCCCUACGGGUUGUAAACUUCUUUUAUACAGGAAUAAAGUGAGGCACGUGUGCCUUUUUGUAUGUACUUUAUGAAUAAGGAUCGGCUAACUCCGUGCCAGCAGCCGCGGUAAUACGGAGGAUCCGAGCUUUAUCCGGAUUUAUUGGGUUUAAAGGGAGCGUAGGUGGGUUGUUAAGUCAGUUGUGAAAGUUUGGGGCUCAACCGUAAAAUUGCAAUUGAUACUGGCAGCCUUGAGUACAGUUGAGGUAGGCGGAAUGCGUGGUGUAGCGGUGAAAGGCAUAGAUAUCACGAAGAACUCCGAUUGCGAAGGCAGCUUACUAAACUGCGACUGACAUUGAUGCUCGAAAGCGUGGGGAUCAAACAGGAUUAGAUACCCUGGUAGUC
rnacentral:rRNA from 1 species